AACGGCCGUACCAUGCUGAAUAUACCGGUUCUCGUUGGAUCACCGAAGUCAAGCAUCAUUGGGCGCGGUCAGUACUUGGGUGGGUGACCACCUGGGAAACACCGCGUGCCGU
rnacentral:rRNA from 1 species